CAAGUAGUCCCUCUGUUCGGAAUUACUUGUCGCAUGAAUGAAUGUAUCUAUACGUUAUUAGGUCUAGAUACAUUCCUUUUAUUCAUUUCUGUGACUAGUAAUUCGGGAAGGAGGGAGUAUAAU
rnacentral:pre_miRNA from 1 species